CUCAGGAGGAAUUAAUCCCAGCUUUCUGGGCAUGGAAUUCUGAUCAUCUGGGAGCAAUCCUGGCCUAAAUCCUGAAUUUCUCCACCUCAGGAGCAAUCCCAGCUUUCUGGACAUGGAAUUCUGAGAUUCCAGGAGCAAUCCCAACUUUUUCUGGGUGUGGAAUUCUGAGCUUCCAGGAGCAAUCCCAGCAAAAUCCCGCAUUUCUCCCCCUCAGGAGCAAUCCCAGGGCUCUGGGGGUGACAUUCCCGGGACCUGGCUCGGAGCAGGAAUGGGAUCGUGCAGGAGGGAUGAGGGGGCAGCGGUGCCAGGCAGGAAUUCCCAGGAAGGAGCAAAAAACCGGGAUGAGGCAGCGAAGGGACCCCACGGAGGGAGGGAAAAGAGAGGGAAAGAUCCAGGAUCCCAAUUCGGGAAUUUUGGGGCCGUUUGGGGGAAUUUUGGGGCCGUUUGGGGGAAUUUGGGGCUGUUUGGGGGAGUUCUGGGGCCAUUUCCCAGUUCUUUCCCAGUUCUAUCCCAGUUCUAUCCCAGUUCUAUCCCAGUUCCAUUCCCAGUUCCAUUCCCAGUUCUAUCCCAGUUCUGUCCCAGUCCUGUCCCAGUUCUAUCCCAGUUCUGGUGUUUUUAGCGUUGUUUUGGGGUGUUUUAUUGCCUGUUUGGGUGUUUUUAGGGCCGUUCUGGUGUUUUUAGGGCUGUUUUUGUGGGUUUUUUGGUCCCAUUCUGGUGUUUUUCGGGCCAUCCCGCCCUUUCCAGCCUCAUUUUCGGGGAAGUUUUUCACCUGGAAGUUUGGCUCCAGUGAUUUUCCUGCGGGUAAAAAUCCCGGGCACGGGGAGGCUCCGGAAUAUCAGGAAUGUGCCCUUGGAGCGGCCGCUGACGCAGGGCCCGGCAUUCCCGGAAUUCCUGCGGCAUUCCCGGCAUUCCCGCGCCGAUGGGAGAUAACGGGAGGUGUUAUCGCCCAAAUUCCAACCCCCCCGGGAAUUCCGGGGUGGAAAAUUCCCGGUUUUUUGGGGGGUUUCGGGGUUUUUUGGGGGUGUUUUGGGGAGGAGGAGGAG
rnacentral:lncRNA from 1 species